AUUGAACGCUGGCGGCAGGCCUAACACAUGCAAGUCGAACGGUAACAGAAAGCAGCUUGCUGCUUUGCUGACGAGUGGCGGACGGGUGAGUAAUGUCUGGGAAACUGCCUGAUGGAGGGGGAUAACUACUGGAAACGGUAGCUAAUACCGCAUAACGUCGCAAGACCAAAGAGGGGGACCUUCGGGCCUCUUGCCAUCGGAUUUGCCCAGAUGGGAUUAGCUUGUUGGUGGGGUAACGGCUCACCAAGGCGACGAUCCCUAGCUGGUCUGAGAGGAUGACCAGCCACACUGGAACUGAGACACGGUCCAGACUCCUACGGGAGGCAGCAGUGGGGAAUAUUGCACAAUGGGCGCAAGCCUGAUGCAGCCAUGCCGCGUGUAUGAAGAAGGCCUUCGGGUUGUAAAGUACUUUCAGCGGGGAGGAAGGGAGUAAAGUUAAUACCUUUGCUAAUUGACGUUACCCGCAGAAGAAGCACCGGCUAACUCCGUG
rnacentral:rRNA from 1 species